rnacentral:rRNA from 1 species
GUCGAGCGGUAGCACAGAGAGCUUGCUCUCGGGUGACGAGCGGCGGACGGGUGAGUAAUGUCUGGGAAACUGCCUGAUGGAGGGGGAUAACUACUGGAAACGGUAGCUAAUACCGCAUAACGUCGCAAGACCAAAGUGGGGGACCUUCGGGCCUCAUGCCAUCAGAUGUGCCCAGAUGGGAUUAGCUGGUAGGUGGGGUAACGGCUCACCUAGGCGACGAUCCCUAGCUGGUCUGAGAGGAUGACCAGCCACACUGGAACUGAGACACGGUCCAGACUCCUACGGGAGGCAGCAGUGGGGAAUAUUGCACAAUGGGCGCAAGCCUGAUGCAGCCAUGCCGCGUGUGUGAAGAAGGCCUUCGGGUUGUAAAGCACUUUCAGCGGGGAGGAAGGCGGUGAGGUUAAUAACCUCACCGAUUGACGUUACCCGCAGAAGAAGCACCGGCUAACUCCGUGCCAGCAGCCGCGGUAAUACGGAGGGUGCAAGCGUUAAUCGGAAUUACUGGGCGUAAAGCGCACGCAGGCGGUCUGUCAAGUCGGAUGUGAAAUCCCCGGGCUCAACCUGGGAACUGCAUUCGAAACUGGCAGGCUAGAGUCUUGUAGAGGGGGGUAGAAUUCCAGGUGUAGCGGUGAAAUGCGUAGAGAUCUGGAGGAAUACCGGUGGCGAAGGCGGCCCCCUGGACAAAGACUGACGCUCAGUGCGAAAGCGUGGGGAGCAAACAGGAUUAGAUACCCUGGUAGUCCACGCUGUAAACGAUGUCGAUUUGGAGGUUGUGCCCUUGAGGCGUGGCUUCCGGAGCUAACGCGUUAAAUCGACCGCCUGGGGAGUACGGCCGCAAGGUUAAAACUCAAAUGAAUUGACGGGGGCCCGCACAAGCGGUGGAGCAUGUGGUUUAAUUCGAUGCAACGCGAAGAACCUUACCUGGUCUUGACAUCCACAGAACUUUCCAGAGAUGGAUUGGUGCCUUCGGGAACUGUGAGACAGGUCCUGCAUGGCUGUCGUCAGCUCGUGUUGUGAAAUGUUGGGUUAAGUCCCGCAACGAGCGCAACCCUUAUCCUUUGUUGCCAGCGGUCCGGCCGGGAACUCAAAGGAGACUGCCAGUGAUAAACUGGAGGAAGGUGGGGAUGACGUCAAGUCAUCAUGGCCCUUACGACCAGGGCUACACACGUGCUACAAUGGCAUAUACAAAGAGAAGCGACCUCGCGAGAGCAAGCGGACCUCAUAAAGUAUGUCGUAGUCCGGAUUGGAGUCUGCAACUCGACUCCAUGAAGUCGGAAUCGCUAGUAAUCGUAGAUCAGAAUGCUACGGUGAAUACGUUCCCGGGCCUUGUACACACCGCCCGUCACACCAUGGGAGUGGGUUGCAAAAGAAGUAGGUAGCUUAAC